CACACCGCCCGCCACACCACGAAAGCCGGCUGUACCAGAAGUCGCUGCGCCAACCGCAAGGAGGCAGGCGCCGAAGGUAUGGUCGGUGAUUGGGGUG
rnacentral:rRNA from 1 species